GACGAACGCUGGCGGCGUGCCUAAUACAUGCAAGUAGGACGCAGUUGCGAACGGGUGAGUAACGCGUAGGUAACUACCUAUUAGAGGGGGAUAACUAUUGGAAACGAUAGCUAAUACCGCAUACUUGUAGAUGGACCUGCGUUGUAUUAGCUAGUAGGUAGGGUAAUGGCCUACCUAGGCAACGAUACAUAGCCGACCGUGGAGGGGGAUAGGCCACACUGGGACUGAGGCACUGCCCAGACUCCUACGGGAGGCCGCAGUAGGGGAUCUUCGGCAAUGGGGGGAACCCUGACCGAGCAACGCCGCGGUAGUGAGGAAGGUUGUCAGGUCGUAAAGCUCUGUUGUUAAGGAAGCGGUACUUAACCAGAAAGGGACGGCUAACUACGUGCCAGCAGCCGCGGUAAUAC
rnacentral:rRNA from 1 species